AAUACCAUACAGGUUAGUUCUUGAUUUAUGACCACAGUUGGGACUGGAAUUUUUGCUGCUAAACGAUCAUUAAUUGAGUCAUUACGUGACCAGGCCUGCAAACUUCCUUGUUGAACUGCUGGUUGGAGACCCCUGCUGUAGUCCAUAGACCUGGAAAUGUGCCGUUAUCCAUAGUUCUUUGGUGACUUAUCUGAAAGAUGAUUAUUCGUCAUUUGCAAGAGGGAAAUUAUUUAUAAUUAGCCUUAGUAAAAGCCUUAGUAAAAGCACAAAUACUGCAUCCAGUUUUGGUCGCCAUAUUAUAAAAAAGAUGCUGAGAAUCUGGAAAGAGUGCAGAAAAGAGCAACAAAGAUGAUUAAGGGGCUGGAGACUAAAUAUAACGAAGAACAGUUGCAGGAAUUGGUAAUGGCUAAUCUAGAGAAAAGAAGAACUAGAAGAGACAUGGUAAAAGUGUUCCCAUAUUUGUGGGGCUACCACAAAGAAGAGAAGGUCAAGUUAUUUUCCAAAGCACCAGAAGGCAAGACAAGAAACAAUGGAUGGAAAUUUAUCAAGGAGAGAAGCAAUCUAGAACUAAGGAAUCAUUUCCUGACAGAACAAUUAAUCAGUGGAACAACUUGCCUCCAGAAGUUGUGGGUGCUCCAACUGGAGGUUUUUUAAGAAGAGACGGGACAUCUAUUCCAUUGUCUGGAAUAGUAUAGGAUCUCCUGCUUGAGCAGGGAAUUGGACUAGAAGACCCCCAAGGUCCCUUCCAACUCUUUUAUUUUAUUUAAAUAUCAAUUAUAGAGACUCUGAGAGCAUGCCAGGAGAAAAAAGAGUAUUUGAUGGCAGAAUCCAGUCAGAUAAAUUAUGCACUCCAGCUGCAACUGAGCCCAAAAAAUGGGCCACAUGAAUAGAAACCUAAGAAAUGAAAACCAGUGGACACUGCCAUGAUGGAACUGCAGUUUCAUCUUCAGCAUGCACCAGCUAAAGGUGCCACAACAGAUGUGGAAGGGAAGCCUCUGCAACCUGCUUCCCAUCACAUUUAAGCCAACCAAAAACUCUGCAGGGCACUGAUGGGAUUGAUUGUAUCCAAGAAUCCAUCUGCUCACUUCCACAUUUCUAAAUAAAUAAGUAAGUAAAUAAAUAAAUAAAUAAAUAAAUAUGACACAUUUCAGGGACCUCAAAUCAGGAUUUUAAUAUAGUAGGUGUUUCUAACACAAUGUUUCCUUAACAUUGUCAGAGAACGAAAGAUAAAUAUGUUUGAUUCCUUGAAGAUCACUUGGAAUACUGCAUUCAGUUUUGGUCGCCACGAUUUUAAAAAGAUGUUGAAACUCUAGAAAGAAUGCAGAGAAGAGCAACAAAGAUGAUUAGGGAACUGGAGGCUAAAACAUAUGAAGAACGGUUGCAGGAACUGGAUAUGUCUAGUCUGAUGAAAAGAAGGAUUAGGGGAGACAUGAUAGCAGUGUUCCGAUAUCUCAGGGGUUGCCACAAAGAGGGAGUCGGGCUGUUCUCCAAAGCACCUGAGGGUAGAACAAGAAGCAAUGGGUGGAAACUGAUCAAGGAAAGAAGCAACUUAGAACUAAGGAGAAAUUUCCUGACAGUUAGAACAAUUAAUAAGUGGAACGACUUGCCUGCAGAAGUUGUGAAUGCUCCAACACUGGAAGUUUUUAAGAUGUUGGAUAACCAUUUGUCUGAAGUGGUGUAGGGUUUCCUGCCUUAAGCAGGGGGUUGGACUUGAAGACCUCCAAGGUCCCUUCCAACUCUUUUAUUCUAAAUUCUAAAAUCAAAAGGCAGGAAUGAAAACGGGUGUGUGUAUUCAUAUUUUACAAGAAACCAACCCAACCGUGGAAAGUGGUUCAUGGAUGGGGCUUUCUCUGCCAUCAGUCACACUGUAUGCGUGACGGUGCUGCAGUUCCAGGAAUUCUUGCCCUAGUUCUGCCAGCUACAAUUGGCCAACACACCUGAAGAACGCCAGGAAGUCAUUAUGACUAAAUAUAACUGAGCUGACUGCUCUAAGACAGAGCUUAGCCUUCCCUAUAGCAAAAAGGAAGCACAAAAAUGAUUUCUUUAAAAAUAUGGAUGCUUUGAAUCAAGCCAGAUCAGUUCACCGCCAUGGACGUGUGAUGUUUGUACUGGAAGCACGAUGCGCUGAGAGAUUUCAAUAUGAUUUAUUAAAAAGCUAUUUUAAUUAUGAAUACAUUUUAAAUGUAGCGGUAAGAUACGUUUGGUGCUACCAUUUGAAAAGGAAAAGCGCACCGAGACCAUCAUUACACUUGAAGGUAGAUUCCGUUAGACCCAGUCCUCAAUGCAGUUUACAAUCACAAAAGUUGUUGAAGCAUAAAGCACCUUUUGGGUUUUGCAGCAGUGACCACUAGGAGACAGCAGAUGCAAUUUAAAUGCCAAGAAACGAUUCUUGGGGCUUUGCACAACUUUUUUUGAGCGACAGAAUUGGAGAUUUUUUUCGCUACUGCCAGAAGGGUAUUUUUCUUUUCUUCUUAACUGCAUAGAAAGCCCUAUUAUCUUUCUAAAGAAAAGAUAUGUGGCCCUCAUUUGAAACACAAUGAUUUUGGCUACGUUCUUCAGGAUGUUUCUUUGUCUCUGUGUGCAAUGCAUGCGCAACACACAGGAAGAGGUUGUUUUUUUAAAAAAAUAAAUGUUUUCAUCAUUCAA